UGAGUUGGCCGGGUGGUCGCGGGUCGCCAAGUGCGAUCUGAGGAAGGUCGGGGCUCCACAGGGCAGGAUGCUGGCUAACGGCCAGGCGAGGCGACUCGACGGAAAGUGCAACAGAGAGUAGACCGCUCCCUAGGGAGCAAGGGUGAAAAGGUGCGGUAAGAGCGCACCAGCAUCGAGGGUAACUUCGAUGGCUAGGUAAACCCCAUCCGGAGCAAGGCCGAAUAGGAGGAUGGGCUGCCCGUUCGCACCGGAUCUCCGGUGCACCUCCUGGUGGGCUGCAUAGAUGGAUGACCACACAAGUCACAGUGUGGCUGGACAGAACCCCGCCUACAGGCCAGCUCAGCAC
rnacentral:RNase_P_RNA from 1 species